CGGCGGCGGCGUCCACAAAUAUUCACUCUGUGGUUAAAGUUUUUGAAAUUUUAAUAACUUUCUUAAACCAUACUGGAUUUCUACCAAACUUGGACAGAAGCUUGUUUAUAAUCAUAAGAUAGUAUCCAGAAGUAAAUUUUGUGAAAAUAAAAUUCCAUUUUUUCCGUAUUUUACUUAUAAAUGGACUUAGUUUUUCUGCGGGAAAACAUUAC
rnacentral:lncRNA from 1 species